AAAUGCUUCAGACUUUUCACAACCAUUUCAGCCACGGUGCUCCCUAUACUAUCACUUAUGUUCCACUUCAGUCCCUGUAGUUUCAAAUGUGUCCUUUUCAAUUCGUUUACUUUUCAAGUUCUGGGUUCGGCAAAUUGUUCGUGUUCUUUGAUCCCUCUUUGAAAAGAGGGAGAGAGGAGAGACAGAGACAGAGGGGAAAUGGGGAGCAUACCCGUGUGGCA
rnacentral:lncRNA from 1 species